GGGAGAAAGUGGGGGAUCUUCGGACCUCACGCUAUCAGAUGAGCCUAGGUACGAUUAGCUAGUUGGUGAGGUAAAGGCUCACCAAGGCGACGAUCGUUAACUGGUCUGAGAGGAUGAUCAGUCACACUGGAACUGAGACACGGUCCAGACUCCUACGGGAGGCAGCAGUGGGGAAUAUUGGACAAUGGGCGAAAGCCUGAUCCAGCCAUGCCGCGUGUGUGAAGAAGGUCUUCGGAUUGUAAAGCACUUUAAGUUGGGAGGAAGGGCAGUAAGUUAAUACCUUGCUGUUUUGGCGUUACCAACAGAAUAAGCACCGGCUAACUUCGUGCCAGCAGCCGCGGUAAUACGAAGGGUGCAAGCGUUAAUCGGAAUUACUGGGCGUAAAGCGCGCGUAGGUGGUUUUGUAAGUUGGAGGUGAAAUCCCCGGGCUCAACCUGGGAACUGCCUCCAAAACUGCAUGACUAGAGUACGGUAGAGGGUGGUGGAAUUUCCUGUGUAGCGGUGAAAUGCGUAGAUAUAGGAAGGAACACCAGUGGCGAAGGCGACCACCUGGACUGAUACUGACACUGAGGUGCGAAAGCGUGGGGAGCAAACAGGAUAAAAUACCCUGGUAGUCCACGCCGUAAACGAUGUCCCCGUGCAGUUGGGUUCCUUGAGAAAUUUAGUGGGGCAGCUAACGCGAUUAAAUUGACCGCCUUGGGGAGUACGGCCGCAAGGUUAAAAACUCAAAGAAAUUGACGGGGGCCCGCACAAGCGGUGGAGCAUGUGGUUUAAAUUAGAAGCAACGCGAAGAACCUUACCUGGCCUUGACAUGCUGAGAACUUUCCAGAGAUGGAUUGGUGCCUUCGGGAACUCAGACACAGGUGCUGCAUGGCUGUCGUCAGCUCGUGUCGUGAGAUGUUGGGUUAAGUCCCGUAACGAGCGCAACCCUUGUCCUUAGUUACCAGCACGUUAUGGUGGGCACUCUAAGGAGACUGCCGGUGACAAACCGGAGGAAGGUGGGGAUGACGUCAAGUCAUCAUGGCCCUUACGGCCAGGGCUACACACGUGCUACAAUGGUCGGUACAAAGGGUUGCCAAGCCGCGAGGUGGAGCUAAUCCCAUAAAACCGAUCGUAGUCCGGAUCGCAGUCUGCAACUCGACUGCGUGAAGUCGGAAUCGCUAGUAAUCGUGAAUCAGAACGUCACGGUGAAUACGUUCCCGGGCCUUGUACACACCGCCCGUCACACCAUGGGAGUGGGUUGCUCCAGAAGUAGCUAGUCUAACCGCAAGGGGGACGGUUACCACGGAGUGAUUCAUGACUGGGGUGAAGUCGUAACAAGGUAACCAAG
rnacentral:rRNA from 1 species